CACGUAGGGUGCGAGCGUUGUCCGGAAUUAUUGGGCGUAAAGCGCGCGCAGGCGGUCUCUUAAGUCUGAUGUGAAAGCCCACGGCUCAACCGUGGAGGGUCAUUGGAAACUGGGGGACUUGAGUGCAGAAGAGGAAAGCGGAAUUCCACGUGUAGCGGUGAAAUGCGUAGAGAUGUGGAGGAACACCAGUGGCGAAGGCGGCUUUCUGGUCUGUAACUGACGCUGAGGCGCGAAAGCGUGGGGAGCAAACAGG
rnacentral:rRNA from 1 species